AGAGUUUGAUCAUGGCUCAGAUUGAACGCUGGCGGCAGGCCUAACACAUGCAAGUCGAACGGUAACAGGAAGCAGCUUGCUGCUUCGCUGACGAGUGGCGGACGGGUGAGUAAUGUCUGGGAAACUGCCUGAUGGAGGGGGAUAACUACUGGAAACGGUAGCUAAUACCGCAUAAUGUCGCAAGACCAAAGAGGGGGACCUUCGGGCCUCUUGCCAUCGGAUGUGCCCAGAUGGGAUUAGCUUGUUGGUGGGGUAACGGCUCACCAAGGCGACGAUCCCUAGCUGGUCUGAGAGGAUGACCAGCCACACUGGAACUGAGACACGGUCCAGACUCCUACGGGAGGCAGCAGUGGGGAAUAUUGCACAAUGGGCGCAAGCCUGAUGCAGCCAUGCCGCGUGUAUGAAGAAGGCCUUCGGGUUGUAAAGUACUUUCAGCGGGGAGGAAGGGAGUAAAGUUAAUACCUUUGCUCAUUGACGUUACCCGCAGAAGAAGCACCGGCUAACUCCGUGCCAGCAGCCGCGGUAAUACGGAGGGUGCAAGCGUUAAUCGGAAUUACUGGGCGUAAAGCGCACGCAGGCGGUUUGUUAAGUCAGAUGUGAAAUCCCCGGGCUCAACCUGGGAACUGCAUCUGAUACUGGCAAGCUUGAGUCUCGUAGAGGGGGGUAGAAUUCCAGGUGUAGCGGUGAAAUGCGUAGAGAUCUGGAGGAAUACCGGUGGCGAAGGCGGCCCCCUGGACGAAGACUGACGCUCAGGUGCGAAAGCGUGGGGAGCAAACAGGAUUAGAUACCCUGGUAGUCCACGCCGUAAACGAUGUCGACUUGGAGGUUGUGCCCUUGAGGCGUGGCUUCCGGAGCUAACGCGUUAAGUCGACCGCCUGGGGAGUACGGCCGCAAGGUUAAAACUCAAAUGAAUUGACGGGGGCCCGCACAAGCGGUGGAGCAUGUGGUUUAAUUCGAUGCAACGCGAAGAACCUUACCUGGUCUUGACAUCCACAGAACUUUCCAGAGAUGGAUUGGUGCCUUCGGGAACUGUGAGACAGGUGCUGCAUGGCUGUCGUCAGCUCGUGUUGUGAAAUGUUGGGUUAAGUCCCGCAACGAGCGCAACCCUUAUCCUUUGUUGCCAGCGGUCCGGCCGGGAACUCAAAGGAGACUGCCAGUGAUAAACUGGAGGAAGGUGGGGAUGACGUCAAGUCAUCAUGGCCCUUACGACCAGGGCUACACACGUGCUACAAUGGCGCAUACAAAGAGAAGCGACCUCGCGAGAGCAAGCGGACCUCAUAAAGUGCGUCGUAGUCCGGAUUGGAGUCUGCAACUCGACUCCAUGAAGUCGGAAUCGCUAGUAAUCGUGGAUCAGAAUGCCACGGUGAAUACGUUCCCGGGCCUUGUACACACCGCCCGUCACACCAUGGGAGUGGGUUGCAAAAGAAGUAGGUAGCUUAACCUUCGGGAGGGCGCUUACCACUUUGUGAUUCAUGACUGGGGUGAAGUCGUAACAAGGUAACCGUAGGGGAACCUGCGGUUG
rnacentral:rRNA from 4 species